rnacentral:tRNA from 1 species
GGGUAUAUAGCUCAGUGCUAGAGUGCAUGCUUAGUAUGCACGAGGUCCUGGGUUCAAUCCCCAGUACCUCUG